rnacentral:rRNA from 1 species
AGGUCAAGCUAAGAAGGGCGCAGGGCGAAUGCCUUGGCACCAGGAGACGAU